UACGAAGGGGGCUAGCGUUGUUCGGAAUUACUGGGCGUAAAGCGUGCGCAGGCGGUUUUGUAAGUCUGACGUGAAAUCCCCGGGCUUAACCUGGGAAUUGCGUUGGAGACUGCAAGGCUGGAGUCUGGCAGAGGGGGGUAGAAUUCCACGUGUAGCAGUGAAAUGCGUAGAGAUGUGGAGGAACACCGAUGGCGAAGGCAGCCCCCUGGGUCAAGACUGACGCUCAUGCACGAAAGCGUGGGGAGCAAACAGG
rnacentral:rRNA from 1 species